GUAGAACUUAAAAACACUACCCUGAAAAACUGUCCUGAAAGAUGGCUUGGUUGAUAAGACUAUCCAACAUUUUAUCCUUGAUCUGCUUGCUUAUUUCACUGAAGAAUACAGUAUUGCCAACUAACAUGUUUAUUACUGCUAGAAAUUGCAGAUACACUUUGAUCUAUUAUUGUAGAUAUACUGUACAUUUGAAUUUACAUUUAUGACCAAACAUCUCUUUUGUUACUUUUAGUAUUACUUUGGGUAAUUAUUGCAAUGAUUCUUCCGGUGAUUACAUAUAAUGUGUGGAAGAAUUAUGUCAGAACUUUUUAAAAUUCAUUUAAUUUUCUGUGCUUUAUUUGUAUUUGGCUCUUUGAGACUUUAAAGAUAAUCAGGUUGCAUUUAUAUAACUUUUGUAAAUAAUCAUAAUUUAUGGUCAAGUUAAGAUAAUAAAACAUC